UAACGGCGUGCCUCGGCAUC
rnacentral:siRNA from 1 species